rnacentral:rRNA from 1 species
AUUGAACGCUGGCGGCAGGCCUAACACAUGCAAGUCGAGCGGAUGAAGGGAGCUUGCUCCUGGAUUCAGCGGCGGACGGGUGAGUAAUGCCUAGGAAUCUGCCUGGUAGUGGGGGAUAACGUCCGGAAACGGGCGCUAAUACCGCAUACGUCCUGAGGGAGAAAGUGGGGGAUCUUCGGACCUCACGCUAUCAGAUGAGCCUAGGUCGGAUUAGCUAGUUGGUGGGGUAAAGGCCUACCAAGGCGACGAUCCGUAACUGGUCUGAGAGGAUGAUCAGUCACACUGGAACUGAGAGACGGUCCAGACUCCAACGGGAGGCAGCAGUGGGGAAUAUUGGACAAUGGGCGAAAGCCUGAUCCAGGCAUGCCGCGUGUGUGAAGAAGGUCUUCGGAUUGUAAAGCACUUUAAGUUGGGAGGAAGGGCAGUAAGUUAAUACCUUGCUGUUUUGACGUUACCGACAGAAUAAGCACCGGCUAACUUCGUG